rnacentral:rRNA from 2 species
AUAAGCGGAGGAAAAGAAACUAACAAGGAUUCCCCUAGUAACUGCGAGUGAAGCGGGAAAAGCUCAAAUUUAAAAUCUGGCGGUCUUUGGCUGUCCGAGUUGUAAUUUAGAGAAGCGUCUUCCGCGCCGGACCGUGCACAAGUCUCCUGGAAUGGAGCGUCAUAGAGGGUGAGAAUCCCGUCUUUGGCAUGGAACCCCCGGGGCUUCUGUGAUGCGCUCUCGAAGAGUCGAGUUGUUUGGGAAUGCAGCUCAAAAUGGGUGGUGAACUCCAUCUAAAGCUAAACAUUGGCGAGAGACCGAUAGCGAACAAGUACCGUGAGGGAAAGAUGAAAAGCACUUUGGAAAGAGAGUGAAACAGUACGUGAAAUUGUUGAAAGGGAAACGCUUGGAGUCAGUCGCGUUGACCGAGACUCAGCCUUGCCUCGGCUUGGUGUACUUCUCGGCUGACGGGCCAGCAUCAAUUCGGUCCCUCAGAUAAUGGCAAGGGAAAGGUGGCACCCUUAUGGGUGUGUUAUAGUCCCCCGUCGCAUGUGAGGGGUGGGAUUGAGGAACUCAGCACGCGCCUCUCGGUGUCGGGGCUUCGGCCCACGUUUAACGUGCUUAGGAUGCUGGCGUAAUGGCUCCAAACGACCCGUCUUGAAACACGGACCAAGGAGUCUAACAUGCCUGCGAGUGUUCGGGUGGAAAACUCGUGCGCGAAAUGAAAGUGAAAGUUGGGACCUCUGUCGUGGAGGGCACCGACGCCCGGACCAGACCUUCUGUGACGGAUCUGCGGUAGAGCAUGCAUGUUGGGACCCGAAAGAUGGUGAACUAUGCCUGAAUAGGGUGAAGCCAGAGGAAACUCUGGUGGAGGCUCGUAGCGAUUCUGACGUGCAAAUCGAUCGUCAAAUUUGGGUAUAGGGGCGAAAGACUAAUCGAACCAUCUAGUAGCUGGUUCCU